AUUGAACGCUGGCGGCAUGCUUUACACAUGCAAGUCGAACGGUAACAGGCCUUCGGGUGCUGACGAGUGGCGAACGGGUGAGUAAUGCAUCGGAACGUGCCCAGAGGUGGGGGAUAACGCAGCGAAAGCUGUGCUAAUACCGCAUGUGAUCUGAGGAUGAAAGCGGGGGACCAGGCAGCAAUGUUUGGCCUCGCGCCUUUGGAGCGGCCGAUGUCAGAUUAGGUAGUUGGUGGGGUAAAGGCCUACCAAGCCGACGAUCUGUAGCUGGUCUGAGAGGACGACCAGCCACACUGGGACUGGGACACGGCCCAGACUCCUACGGGAGGCAGCAGUGGGGAAUUUUGGACAAUGGGCGCAAGCCUGAUCCAGCAAUGCCGCGUGCGGGAAGAAGGCCUUCGGGUUGUAAACCGCUUUUGUACGGAACGAAAAGGCUCUGGCUAAUACCUGGGGCUGAUGACGGUACCGUAAGAAUAAGCACCGGCUAACUACGUG
rnacentral:rRNA from 1 species